UACGGAGGGGGCUAGCGUUGUUCGGAAUUACUGGGCGUAAAGCGCGCGUAGGCGGACCUGCAAGUCGGGGGUGAAAGCCCGAGGCUCAACCUCGGAACUGCCUUCGAUACUGCGGGUCUCGAGUCCGGGAGAGGUGAGUGGAAUUCCUAGUGUAGAGGUGAAAUUCGUAGAUAUUAGGAAGAACACCAGUGGCGAAGGCGGCUCAGCUGGCCCGGUACUGACGCUGAGGCGACGAAAGGCGUGGGGAGCAAACAGG
rnacentral:rRNA from 1 species